ACAGGAGAAGCUUGCUUCUCGCUGACGAGCGGCGGACGGGUGAGUAAUACUUAGGAAUCUACCUAGUAGUGGGGGAUAGCACGGGGAAACUCGUAUUAAUACCGCAUACGACCUACGGGAGAAAGGGGGCAGUUUACUGCUCUCGCUAUUAGAUGAGCCUAAGUCGGAUUAGCUAGAUGGUGGGGUAAAGGCCUACCAUG
rnacentral:rRNA from 2 species